rnacentral:rRNA from 1 species
GAUGAACGCUGGCGGCGUGCCUAAUACAUGCAAGUCGAACGCAUUGAGAAAAGUGCUUGCACUUUUCAACUUGAGUGGCGAACGGGCGAGUAACACGUGGGCAACCUACCUGAUAGCGGGGGAUAACGAGUGGAAACAUUCGCUAAUACCGCAUAACAAUAGAGAAGGCAUCUUCUUUAUUUAAAAGGCGCUUUCAAGCGUCACUAUCAGAUGGGCCCGCGGUGCAUUAGUUAGUUGGUGGGGUGAAGGCCUACCAAGCCGAUGAUGCAUAGCCGAGUUGAGAGACUGAUCGGCCACAUUGGGACUGAGACACGGCCCAAACUCCUACGGGAGGCUGCAGUAGGGAAUCUUCCACAAUGGACGAAAGUCUGAUGGAGCAACGCCGCGUGUGUGAUGAAGGCUUUCGGGUCGUAAAGCACUGUUGUAUGGGAAGAAAUGCUAGGCUAGGAAAUGAGCUUAGUUUGACGGUACCAUACCAGAAAGGGACGGCUAAAUACGUGCCAGCCGCCGCCGUAA